UACACACGCUGCCCAGGCAAACAUGUGGCAAUGCUAAGAAGAAGUGUUUUUAAGAGUUGAGAAUGAUCCACUGGAGUGUUGAGUUCCUUUCUAAGUGUUAACAAGUCCAGGAAUAGAUGCAGUGAUGUCAGUAGGUGGAUAAAGGGCCCACGAGCACAUCAGCAAGAAACUUGGAGCCAAGGAAUGAAAGGUGAGAUGUACUCCAGCUCACACAGACACAUGUAUGGAGCAGCAUGCAUCUGUCUGACAUACACGCAUUGCGGCCGACUAACAGUCCUCAUUGGUCUCUGGAGGCGCGAGGUCUGAACUCCACAAACAUCUGGAGAAACGCUGCGGAGAUUGUUCCACCACACAGUUAGCCAGACUGCACAACAGGUGCCGACAGAUUGAUGGCUGGAGAGAUGAAUGAUCAGUGGAAAAAAAAAGAGAGAGAGAGUGUAAGUGCGUAAGAGCAACUUAGAUUCUCUGGAGGAAAAAAAUGGUACACGUUACUGGAGGAGUCACUGAAGAGAGCGAGAGAGAGAGAGGGAGGGAGAUGAAAUUCAGUGAGUCAGUAGUGAGAAAGAUUGUAAU
ensembl:lncRNA